rnacentral:sRNA from 1 species
UUACGUCAUUCUGUACGUUCCGUGCGC